CGAGGGGUAUAGGUUUUCGGACCUAGAGACCGGCGCACGGGUGCGUAACGCGUAUGCAAUCUACCUUUUACAGAGGGAUAGCCCAGAGAAAUUUGGAUUAAUACCUCAUAGUAUUACGACUCGGCAUCGAGAUGUAAUUAAAGUCACAACGGUAAAAGAUGAGCAUGUGUCCCAUUAGCUUGUUGGUAAGGUAACGGCUUACCAAGGCAACGAUGGGUAGGGGUCCUGAGAGGGAGAUCCCCCACACUGGUACUGAGACACGGACCAGACUCCUACGGGAGGCAGCAGUGAGGAAUAUUGGUCAAUGGGCGCAAGCCUGAACCAGCCAUGCCGCGUGCAGGAUGAAGCAUCUAUGGUGUGUAAACUGCUUUUGUACGAGAAGAAACACUCCUUCGUGAAGGAGCUUGACGGUAUCGUAAGAAUAAGGACCGGCUAACUCCGUGCCAGCAGCCGCGGUAAUACGGAGGGUCCAAGCGUUAUCCGGAAUCAUUGGGUUUAAAGGGUCCGUAGGCGGUUUUGUAAGUCGGUGGUGAAAGCCCAUCGCUCAACGGUGGAACGGCCAUUGAUACUGCAAGACUUGAAUUAUUGGGAAGCAACUAGAAUAUGUAGUGUAGCGGUGAAAUGCUUAGAGAUUACAUGGAAUACCAAUUGCGAAGGCAGGUUGCUACCAAUAUAUUGACGCUGAUGGACGAAAGCGUGGGGAGCGAACAGGAUUAGAUACCCUGGUAGUCCACGCCGUANACGAUGGAUACUAGCUGCUCGGANCAAUCUGAGUGGCU
rnacentral:rRNA from 1 species